rnacentral:rRNA from 1 species
AGUUCGGAUUGCAGGCUGCAACCCGCCUGCAUGAAGCCGGAAUCGCUAGUAAUCGCGGAUCAGAAUGCCGCGGUGAAUACGUUCCCGGGUCUUGUACACACCGCCCGUCACACCAUGGGAGUCGGGAAUGCCCGAAAUCAGUGGCCCAACCGGAAGGGGGGAGCUGCCGAAGGCAGGCCCGAUGACUGGGGUGAAGUCGUAACAAGGUAUC